rnacentral:tRNA from 1 species
GGUCGUUUAGCUCAGUUGGGAGAGCAUCGCCCUUACAAGGCGAGGGUCGCUGGUUCAAGCCCAGCAACGACCA